rnacentral:rRNA from 1 species
AGGGCACCACCAGGAGUGGAGCCUGCGGCUUAAUUUGACUCAACACGGGGAAACUCACCCGGCCCGGACACCGUAAGGAUUGACAGAUUGAUAGCUUUUCCAUGAUUCGGUGGAUGGUGGUGCAUGGCCGUUCUUAGUUCGUGGAGCGAUCUGUCUGGUUUAUCCCGAUAACGAGCGAGACUCUAGCCCACUAAAUAGUUCGCACAUUGUCUCUGUGUGUGUGACUUCUUAGAGGGAUUUUCGGUGUUCAGCCGCACGAAAUUGAGCAAUAACAGGUCUGUGAUGCCCUUAGAUGUCCGGGGCUGCACGCGCGCUACACUGGCAAAAUCAGCGUGCUUGUCCUUCCCCGAGAGGGGUUGGUAAACCCUUGAAAAUUUGCCGUGAUUGGGAUUGGAAAUUGCAAUUAUUUUCCAUGAACGAGGAAUUCCAAGUAAGUGCGAGUCAUCAGCUCGCGUUGAUUACGUCCCUGCCCUUUGUACACACCGCCCGUCGCUGCCCGGGACUGAGCCAUUUCGAGAA